rnacentral:rRNA from 1 species
ACGGCUCAUACACGUGGAUAACCUGCCCUUGGGAUCGGCAUAACCCCGGGAAACUGGGGAUAAUUCCGGAUACCGCAUAUAUGCUGGAAUGCUUUAUGCGUGAAAUGGAUUCGUCUGCCCAAGGAUGGGUCUGCGGCCUAUCAGGUAGUAGUGGGUGUAAUGUACCUACUAGCCAACGACGGGUACGGGUUGUGAGAGCAAGAGCCCGGAGAUGGAUUCUGAGACAUGAAUCCAGGCCCUACGGGGCGCAGCAGGCGCGAAAACUUUACAAUGCGGGAAACCGUGAUAAGGGGACACCGAGUGCCAGCAACAUUUGUUGGCUGUCCGGGUGUGUAAACUACACCCGUUAGCAAGGGCCGGGCAAGACCGGUGCCACCACCCCCGUAAUAC